AUUGAACGCUGGCGGCAUGCCUAACACAUGCAAGUCGAACGAGUGGCGGACGGGUGAGUAAUGUCUGGGAAUCUGCCUGAUGGAGGGGGAUAACUACUGGAAACGGUAGCUAAUACCGCAUACCAUCAGAUGUGCCCAGAUGGGAGUAGCUAGUAGGUGGGGUAAUGGCUCACCUAGGCGACGAUCCCUAGCUGGUCUGAGAGGAUGACCAGCGAAACUGGAACUGAGACACGGUCCAGACUGCUACGGGAGGGAGGAGAGGGGAAUAGUGCACAAUGGGCGCAAGGCUGAUGCAGCAAUGCCGCGUGUGUGAAGAAGGCGUUGGGGUGGGAAAGCACUAUCAGCGAGGAGGCGUUACUCGCAGAAGAAGCAACGGCUAACUACGUGCCAGCAGCCGCGGUAAUUC
rnacentral:rRNA from 1 species